CACAAAGCAUUCAUACGAGGACUGACAGCAGUGACCGUUGUCAUCAUCACCACCUAGAACCACCUUCUUGUGUCAGUCUGCUCUUGAGCAAUCGAUUGUCGGUUACAGACCGGUUACAGCCUGAAGUCGCGUUUUUAAUAUACUGGUAAGAGCUAUGGAGACUCCUAGCCAAUACAAGAAGCUUGAGCGUUAUGUCCUCUCUGAACACCUGCUGCAACAGUACAGCUUCCCACGUCCCCACCCAACUGUUGAAGGCCAAGCAGUAAUAUCAAAUGCAAGAGACAAGUACACUCAGAUACCAAGUGAGUUGUCACGGAUAUGUAGAAGAUGUGAAGUUGUUUAUUCUGUCCAAAAAAAUGGCAAAAUUCUUACGCCUGAAGUCUGUCGAUACCAUUCUUACAGUAGAAACCCAGGACGUGUAUACAGAUGUUGCUAUGGAGGAUCCACAGCCAAGCCUUGCAAAAUUGCCCCACAACAUGUUCAUGGAUGCCUAGAUUUUAACAAUUUGACUGGGUUCCUUCUAACAAAAGACAACACUUCAGUGACAACUCGUGAAGCCUAUGCUGUAGACACAGAAAUGAUAUACACGGAUGGUGGUUUAGAAGUUGGAUGCUUGUCCAUUGUUAACAGUAAGUGUCAAGUGGUUUAUGAAACAAUGGUUGUCCCGGAUAAUCCCAUUGUGGAUUACAACACAGAGUUCUCAGGACUCAAGUCUUCAGAUUUCAAUGGAGUGACAACUACCAUGAAAGAUGUCCAUGAGAAACUGCAAAGCCUUUGGGGUCCCAACACCAUACUUGUAGGUCAUGGACUAGAAAGUGACUUGAUUAAACUGAGCGUGAUACAUGAUAAAGUUGUGGAUACCCGGGUAUUAUACCCACACAAGAAAGGUCUCCCAUUCAUGAACUCGCUGAAGAAUUUAAGGGAGAUAUAUUUACCCAAUAGAACAAAUGCAGCAGAUUCAUAUAAAUGUGGCAACGAUGCAUUUGCCGUCAUGGCGCUUGCUCUACGAAAGCCAUAAUUUAUGCAUCAAACCUGGUUCUAAAAGUAGCUCCAAACAAAAUGAAAUGUUAGGUACAUUUCAAGUAAAUGUCAUGGGAUUUUAAAUAUAUCAAGUACCAAUUAAUAGCCUUUAUAGCUUGUAUGAUUAUUAGAUUAGUGAUUAGCACAAAUGUAAUAGUGUAGUUGUAUACUGAAUUCUCGACUAAGGUACCAGAAAUAACUUCAAACAAAAUGAGAUAAAAUUUGUCAUGUUGUACACCAAAAUUAUGAUAAAAUUUCAAGUAAAUUU